rnacentral:rRNA from 1 species
GACGAACGCUGGCGGCGUGCUUAAAACAUGCAAGUCGAACGGACUUCUCAUGAAGCUUGCGAUUGAGAAGUUAGUGGCGGACGGGUGAGUAACGCGUGGGCAACCUGCCCCUGAGCCCGGGAUAACAGUUCGAAAGGACUGCUAAGACCGGAUAUACUUGCGGGGAAGCAUUUCACUGCAAGGAAAGGGAACGCUCAGGGAUGGGCCCGCGUCCCAUUAGCUAGUUGGUGAGGUAACGGCCCACCAAGGCGACGAUGGGUAGCCGGCCUGAGAGGGUGAACGGCCACACUGGGACUGAGACACGGCCCAGACUCCUACGGGAGGCAGCAGUUGGGAAUCUUCGGCAAUGGGCGCAAGCCUGACCGAGCAACGCCGCGUGAGUGAUGAAGGUUUUCGGAUUGUAAAGCUCUGUCUUCCGGGACGAUAAUGACGGUACCGGAGGAGGAAGCCACGGCUAACUACGUGCCAGCAGCCGCGGUAAUCACCGAGAGUA